AGUAGUAAUAAAUAACUAAACUAAUAUAAUUUGGCGGUCAUACUAAAUUAAAGAAACUCGCUUAAUAAUCGAUAAUACUCGAUAAAUUUUACUAAAAUAAUUAAGCUCAUAUACCGCCGUCAUCAGAACAAUAACAACAAUAAUUCAUAAAAUUCAUUUUCAAUAAAAAAUCAGGUCAAGGUGUGGCAAUAUUAAAGAAAAAGUAAGUUACAUUAAAAAAAAUUUAAGGAUUUUACUUCAAAAAUUAAAUGAAAAAGAAUUUAUAAGUACACAUCAAUUAAAAAUUAUAAUAGAACAAUAAUAG
rnacentral:rRNA from 1 species